GGAGGGUUCGCAUAGUGGUCUAGUGCGCACGCUUGGAAAGCGUGUGUGCCGCAAGGCACCAUGAGUUCGAAUCUCAUACCCUCCG
rnacentral:tRNA from 1 species